rnacentral:rRNA from 1 species
UACGUAGGGAGCAAGCGUUGUUCGGAUUUACUGGGCGUAAAGGGCGCGUAGGCGGCAAAUUAAGUCAGCUGUGAAAUCUCCGAGCUUAACUCGGAACUGUCAGCUGAUACUGAUCUGCUAGAGUGCGGAAGGGGCAAUCGGAAUUCCCGGUGUAGCGGUGAAAUGCGCAGAUAUCGGGAAGAACACCCGUGGCGAAGGCGGCUCUCUGGGACGGUACUGACGCUGAGACGCGAAAGCGUGGGGAGCGAACAGG